GACGAACGCUGGCGGCGUGCUUAACACAUGCAAGUCGAACGGAAAGGCCAUGCCUUUGACGGGUGCUCGAGUGGCGAACGGGUGAGUAACACGUGAGUGACCUGCCCUGGACUUUGGGAUAACUUCAGGAAACUGGGGCUAAUACCGGAUAGGAGCUCGGGCUGGAUGGCGGGGGGUGAAGAGUUUUCGCGGUUGGGUAUGGACGCGGCGCUUAUGAGUUUGUUGGGGGGGUUGGGGUUUCACAGGGUCUUCACGGGUCCGCGGCCUGAGAGGGUGAGGGGCCACAUUGGGAGUGAGACACGGCCCAGACUCCUACGGGGGGCAGCAGUGGGAAAUAGUGCACAAUGGGCGAAAGCGAGAUACAGCAACGGCGCGUGCGGGAUGACGGCCUUCGUGUUGUACACCGCUUUCGCCUGUGACGGAGCGUGUGUGACGGUAAUGGGUAAAGAAGCACCGGCUAACUACGUG
rnacentral:rRNA from 1 species